rnacentral:rRNA from 1 species
UACGUAGGGUGCAAGCGUUAAUCGGAAUUACUGGGCGUAAAGCGUGCGCAGGCGGUUGUGCAAGACAGAUGUGAAAUCCCCGGGCUCAACCUGGGAACUGCAUUUGUGACUGCACGGCUGGAGUGCGGCAGAGGGGGAUGGAAUUCCGCGUGUAGCAGUGAAAUGCGUAGAUAUGCGGAGGAACACCGAUGGCGAAGGCAAUCCCCUGGGCCUGCACUGACGCUCAUGCACGAAAGCGUGGGGAGCAAAAGGG